rnacentral:rRNA from 1 species
UGGGGAAUAUUGGACAAUGGGCGAAAGCCUGAUCCAGCCAUGCCGCGUGAGUGACGAAGGCCUUAGGGUUGUAAAGCUCUUUUACCAGGGACGAUAAUGACGGUACCUGGAGAAUAAGCCCCGGCAAACUUCGUGCCAGCAGCCGCGGUAAUACGAAGGGGGCUAGCGUUGUUCGGAAUUACUGGGCGUAAAGCGCACGUAGGCGGAUUGUUAAGUCAGAGGUGAAAUCCCGGAGCUCAACUUCGGAACUGCCUUUGAUACUGGCAAUCUAGAGUCCGGAAGAGGUUAGUGGAAUUCCCAGUGUAGAGGUGAAAUUCGUAGAUAUUGGGAAGAACACCAGUGGCGAAGGCGGCUAACUGGUCCGGUACUGACGCUGAGGUGCGAAAGCGUGGGGAGCAAACAGGAUUAGAUACCCACGUAGUCCCUGAGCGGGCUGGCAAGGCGCAU